UCGUCACGUGACCCGGGCCGGAAGCGCGCUCGGCGUUUCCGGGCGGCGAUGGCUCCGGACCCCUGGCUGCCGCUGCACGCCGCCGCCUGCCAGCUCGCCCAGGAGGUCGCGGAGAGAAUCCAGGAGCGGAACCGCUGCCAGAGGAACGGGGAGAGCCCGGCCAAGCUCAAUGUGGUUCUCAGAUCAUCGCUGCAGAAUCUCAGGGAGAAGAUCGAUCAGCUGAAGGACUUGCUGCUUCGGGCUGUGUCAACACACCAGAUCACACAGCUGGAGGGGGACAGGCGGCAGAAUUUGGUGGAUGAUCUUCUCACGAGACACAAACAACUUCAGGCGUCUUACAAGAAUGAAGGCCCAGAACCAGACGUGAUAAGGUCUAGCCUAAUGACCGGAGGGGCCAAACGAGGCGUCACCAACCCAUGGCUUUUGGAAGAGUCUGAGGAGACCAGAGGGCUCGGCUUUGACGAUCUCAGGCAGCAGCAGCGAAGGAUCAUAGAAGAGCAAGACGCUGGACUCGAUGCUCUCUCUUCAAUCAUAUCCCGGCAGAAGCAAAUGGGGCAGGAAAUUGGGAAUGAGCUGGAUGAACAGAAUGAGAUCAUCGACGACCUCACGAACCUGGUUGAGAACACGGACGACAAGCUCCGCAACCAGACGCGGCAUGUGAAGAUGGUGGAGAAGAAAUCCACGUCCUGUGGUAGGAAAUGGCUUGAGCACAAACCCUGCCCUGUCAUUAAACAAUGAAGCACUCCCCCCCGGGACAGCUUCUUUGAAAAGUUAGAAAAACCCAACCUCUCCAGACUUCUUCAGCCGAUGUCGCAGGAAUGCUGGUGGUGAUCGUGCUGCUGCUCAUUGCCAUCGCCGUGGUCGCUGUCUGGCCGACACAUUAACGUGGAUCCGGGAGCUGCUGCCCCACAGCUGAUUGCGGGAACUCCAGAGACCGACUUUGUGCAAAGGCCUUCUGUGUUUUAAAUAAACUCGACAACAUGAGAACGAAGCUGUGUCUGACAGACGUCCGUCCUUCCUGCGGUGCGCAGCCGGAGAGCACGGCGCCAUCCGAAGGGUUCCAGCUUGCCGAGGACGCUGUCCCGCCUUCCCGUGGCGCUGGAGCCGCGGCUGCCCCUGCAGCGGGCGCUCGUCUCAAUGGGCCCGCGGGGCCGCCUGCCCGUCCACACCGCUCACCCCCAGCGGUCGCUGUCCCAAGGGCUUAACAUACUAACAUAAAGGUAAAGGUGCGGUUUGGGAGCACAGCGGUGGCACUCCUCUGCUUUCUGAUGCCUUCCUUCAAAAGGAAAACUCUUGCUUUUUUAUCAAGGAAUAACUGUUUUUUGGGAAUGACAGCAUCGGGCUGCUCGCAGAGCCCUGCGGGGCGCGGGACCCGUGGGCUGCACGGGAGCGCUGGGAGCGGCUCGGGGCCCGGCCCCUGGGGAGGGUUCUCGGUGUCACAGAUCACAGCAGAACCGUGAGCAGGUCUGGGGUGUCUGAGCGGGGACCCCAGCGCAUGGGACCCUGCGCUCCCCACGUCCCCCCACGGUGCUCCCCACGUCCUCCUACGUGCUCCCCACAUCCCCCCACGGUGCUCCCCAUGUCCUCCUACGUGCUCCCCACAUCCCCCCAUGUGCUCUCCAUGUCCCCCAUGUGCCCCCCACAUCCCCCCAUAUGCCCCCUGUGUCCCCCCAUGUGCUCUGCCAUUAACCUGCUAAUCUCAGCCAUCGGGGUCUGUUUCUUUCUUUCAUAACUUUUCACAUGCUGUUAAAGCUGAGAGGAAGGAUUACCUGUUCAAAAACUAAUGAAAAAGAAGUACUGAAUGUUUGCUUCUGGCCAAGAAAAUCAUUAUUUUGUUAUAUGUGCCAGUUUGAUUUCAGAACUGAUAGAGCGAGCAAUAAAUAUUGAAUAAAAGCCAAUCCAUUUACAUACAA